AAAAAAAAAAAAAAAAAGUUGUAUCGAGAGCAGCCAACUUAACCGAAAGCUAUUUUUCAAGGCUAGAGGCCUUCACUAGGGGAACAUGAUUCUCAUGUAAAUCGUAUUACGUAUCAAUCUUAUCUUGUUCGGAAGAGAAAAAGCUAUCUUGAUACUGAGUACAUGAAAUUGGCUUCAAAUGCGACACCAAUCCUCUACAAAAUGGACAUAAGAUCAUGCUCGAAGCAGAACUAAAUAGAAUGAUUUCUCCUAGGAAGAGUUGCUUUUUCUAAAUAAAACUCAGAAUGGAACUAAAAGAAACACCAUAUGUGGUGAACCAAUAAUGCAUUUACCUUCGUUUUUACCGUCGAAUUGACGCUGUUAAAGGCUACGCUAGCCAACGAUCUAGCCAUACCUGUAACGAGGAUACCCUCGAAUCUUCAACUUGCAGCAACUAGAGGAGAAAUCCUUCAAUCAGAAAUAGAAUAUGGAUUGAUAAAGCACACGAAUUUUUGCUAAACCAGUAUUACGCAACUGCUCAAAAAUCAGAGUUCAUAUCCUUCGAUCCAUAUAUAUUGCUCAAAAGAAGUAAAAAGCAUAUCAAAAGAUAGUCGCUGGCGUAUUCAUAAUCCAGCAUGUAAUCGAUAAGCUGUAACAAGCAAUGCACAAGCACAUCAAAGAGGAAGCAUCGCAUCAACAUUCACACAGAUAAUAAGAAUGGUUUGAUCAAACUAGUGUGCUCAGAAACCCUAGAGCACAAAGUCCCCAAAUCGGUCAUUGUAAAAUGAGAAAUAAGCUAUUGAGGAAAACAAAAUUCAUUUAUUAUCCAAUUUUUUUCUAAAUAAAAUGCGUAAAAAGGGAAACGAGAAGUCGAGAACAAUGUAUCAGGCACCUGAAACGAAGGUUGUAGAGAGAGAGAGAGAGAGAGAGAGAGAAGAUGCAAACGAUGAAAGAGGAAGGGGAUGAAUCGCUCCAACGGACGAGCUUAAGCUGUCGACAGCAACGUUAAUGGGCCUGAUGAGCUUUAAUUGAGGCCCAUUGGGGGGGGAAACAAAAUAGAGCUCUAAGAGAGCCUGUUUAUGAUUGCUAGGCCUGGACGGGGGGAUUCGAAAUUUUCAGCUUCGUUCGGAUGGAAAGCUAAAAUAAGCUUUGAAUUCUAUAAGUUAGUGAUGAAGAGGAGCCGUGCUCCAAUUUGAUUUCAGCUUUACCGCGGAUUCUAAUGCGUCUCAUGUCUAGAAUCUAGAGAUUAUACUGUAUGAUGUAAUGUGUUGUUCAUAUUAGCACCCUACAAUCUCAUUACGAUUCUCAUUUGCAACGAAAGGACUGUUUCUUUUCUGUGGAUCAAAUGCUUUACUGGAGAUGAAUGUUGCUUGAAGCAAACUAAUGAAAGACUUAUUCCAGAUUGUAGAAUACGGGAUAAGAACCAUUAACGCGUCAAAUUAUUGCAAGAGUUACAAUUUUCUCUAUAGACUUUAUUUCGUCUUCAUUAAUUACACUGUUAAGUUCGAACGAAGUAAAUAAGAGCAUGAGAUGGCAUAACCACUGCAUUCCCUUGGCUCCGCAACACUUAACUACAAAGUAUACGGACGUGUCUAGAGUGUAGGGUUUUUUCCUUUUUCCAAAAAAGAAAAGUUCGGAAGACUUUAGAGUGUGGGUACUGAAGAACAAAACUGCUCCCAAGAGAAGCAAGGUAUCACGUUUGGUGAGGCCUCUGAAACCACACUAAUGCAAACGCCACAGCAAUGAAUAAUGAAUUACUUCUACAUGUCCCAUACAAUCAGCUGAUUUCAAGCUCCAAAAUAAGUAGGUAAUACGCAUUCCCCAGAAUUUGAGAAGCUGAAUUCAAUUCUCAAGUGAAAAAUAAAAAGAAAAAAAAAUGUUAAAAUAGAUGAAAAAAAAAAAAUCAAAUAACAAGAGCCUCGUUGGCCCAGCAAAAGCAGGAAACGCUUUUCCAAGCUGGGCGGCCAAUAAGCAUUCACUGCACACAAACCGGCCAAACUAUAUGACAAAAGUGAAAUUCAAUCUGAAUUCUAAAUUGAACUGUUUUUUUUUCCUUUUUAUUACAAUUUUUUUUCCCCAACUUUCCCUUUCCCUCUCCCUCGGCCACCCUCUCCUGCCCAGCACCACAUCCACAAUCUCGUGUUCACACAAUGAUGAGGCGGCAACCGCCCUGUGUAGAAGCACAUAACAAAAACAAGGAAAUAAAUAAUUCAUCGCUAUGUAAAAAGCAUGAAGACGAUGGCUGCGAAAACUGCAGCUCACCGUGUCCCUGGAUAAGAAGUGACUCAUUGUCCCCAACCAGCUCGGCCCUCCGAAGGAGAACUGAUACUGGCAACCGAUCGAGGAAAAUGCCUUUCUCACAACAGUGUCUCGUCCUCAUCAUCGGCUUCAUCAUGGGGCAUCCUCCGCUGCCGCCUCCGUCUAUGCUGGCCCUCUUCAGCUACUCCAUCAUUGUCUGCAUUAUCUUCGACGGCAUUAGAAACAUUACUGCUCACUCCUCCAUUCGUGUCCGCCUCAUUGAAGGCCUCCCCCCAGAGAAACACUCGCCUUCCUCGGCGAUUCACAGUCCUCAAAUUCCUUGGGGAGCUUCUCCUGUAUCUUAAAGUCGGCUGCAUGUUGUCUGUACCUCCUUGCUGGCUAACCUGUACAACUAAAAACAAGGUGAAGGAGGGAAAUGCGAAAACCCGGCCUCCGAAAUCCUCUCGCUCGCUGUUUGCGCCAAACAACUCUUCAUCCGCGCUGGUAUCCGACCGGAACAUGCUGAACAGAUCCCCGAGAUCCCGUUGCUGCUCUAUCCUCCGCCAGUCCCGCUGCCGCUCAGGGUCUACCUCCGAAGGCCGCCCAGACGGAUGGUCCUUCCUUGCGUGCUUUCUUAAUUCUGCAUACGUCCCCGAGAAGGCACAAGACUCCAUAGAGCAGCUACGGUUCUUGGUAUUCAUAUACCGCCGAGCGGGUUCCAACACCAUCCAACUGUUGACAAGCCCCCGGCAUAAAGGGCACGAGAGUUUGUUUUGAAGCGAGUCCUCGGCAUUCCCUUCAGAGGUUUUGGAUCCUGAGAAGGCCUUCUUGUACUGAUCGAGGCAAUUGGAAUGCCGGUAGCUCGUGUCGCACAUGAAUGGUCGGCAGCCUUUGUCAUGGGAAGAGCAGAGAAGUAGUACCGCGUUAUGAGGGUGCUCCAUACAAACAGGGCAGCGGACGUCCUCCCAUUCUUUAGUGUCAGUGGAUAUAAGAGCAUGUUCGGGUGGCUCCUGUGAAUGUGAAGAAUCACUUCUUCUGGUAGAUGAACUACAAGGGUAGGGAGAAGCACGAGAAUGCCGUUCAAAGGAUGCAGAACGAGUUCCCCUGUCCUUAGGCAUAUUACUACUUGAUAGACCAAGAACUAAUGAACAAAUUUCUUGACAAAGCAACACUUUUUAUACAGCACAGAGGAAGAAAUUCGAAUAGGAACUAGAGCUUCAAGGUCUGAAAUCAAACAAGAUAAAACAAAUCAAUGCAACCCAAGAUACGUUUCCUGAUUAAGCAGUUAGUUUUCAGUUAAUUAUAAAGCAAAAGAAACCAGAAAAAGAAUGAAUAUAUAAAAGUUUUCAUUUUCAUCACUCAGCAAUCAGAAUACAUCAAUAAAGAAUACAAUAACAGAACCUACUUUCUAAACAUGAAUAACACAUAAUUAAUCUAUUAAAAUGCAAGAGUGAAUGCACAACUAUGCGCUCAACCAAUAUUUGGCUAAUUUCAAAGAAAACAUCCCAAUAAGCUGCUAUAUAACAAGAUUACACAACUGCUAAGAUUCAACAACAAAGUAUACACAAAAAUUUCACCUUAACAUAUAUUACAUAUAAUAUACGCUGAUGUGGCUAUUCAAAUAAAACUUGUUUUACAACUCAUAUUAAAGAAACCACACCGUCAUCGUAUGAAUCUCUGGUUACCGUAUACAUUAGCGUCCAAUAAUGUUCCUUAAAAAGCAACUCACGAAGACAAUAAUAGCUAACAACCGCAUCCAUGACCCUCAAUUCUCGCAAUGAUUAUUGACAUACUCAACAUCUACACCAAGAAAUUGAUCUAACAACACCAGCAUCCGCACAAGAGCGACACAAACCCUAAUCACACAAUAGAACCUCCCACUCCAUAACACCAAAUCGAGAUGAACAAAGACCAAAAAGCGACGCCUAUAUACACAGAGACUACACGCGAGAGCCGAAUCAACGCCAAAAAGAGAGGGAAGAAAAAAAAAAAGAAAAGAAGAGGGAUUCGAAUUCACGAUGGAGAUUAUUACCGAUCGGGGUUUUCCAAAGAUCUGCGAGAAGUGGAUUCGAUCGAUCGAAGCAAAUAGCGAGCGCGUGGGGGGAAGAGAGAGAGUCCUCGGAGUCGGCUGAGGAGAGAGAGAGAAAGAGGAGGAGGAGGAAGAAGCCCUAAUUUUUCGACGAAAAGGGGGGGAGGGGAAGAAACGCGAUAUGCGGAGGAGGUGGGGCGCCUUUUAUCGGAGAGGCGUGGAUGACGUGGCAGCUGACGUGGGCGGCUAGGGUUCUCUCGAGGUCAAAACGGCGCCUACCGUCGGUAGAAGGUGCCUUUUUUUUUUCUUUCUCACGAGAAUUUCUCCGAUGCACCGGGUGUACGAGUAUAUUUUUACAAUCUCAUACACCGCUCUCCAAAAUAUCACUAUAAAAAUAAAUAUAUUUUAUAAUAUUUCAAAAAAUUAUUAAAUAUAAUUUUUUAUAAACAGGGUAAUGAUUAUUUCUAAAUCUAAGGGCAUGUUUGGUUCGCUUAUUUUUUACCUUGGAGUCGGAAUAGGAAUGAAUGAAUUCAUUUGUGGGUGUUUGGUACUCGGGAGUCCUAUUCUGAUUCCGAUUUCCGAGUGGAAUGGAAAUUUCCUAAUCAGUUGAAUCCGGACGAAAUAGAUAUUUAUUCGGAUUAAAUUUAUUUUUUCAACUUUUUUUAAUUAAAAUAUGAGUUUAAAUUUAGAAAUUAAAUUUAUAUUUUUAAAUUUUAAUUUGAAUUUGAAUUAAAAAUUAAAAUUUAAUCAUGUAUUUUGAAUCUAACUUAUAAAUUUGAAUUUAAAUUAAAUUUUAAUUUAUAUAAAGUUUUAUUCAAAUUUUAUUUAAAACUUAAAUUAAAUUUAUAAAUUCAAAUUAAAAUUUAAAUUGUAAUUUUAAGUUUGAAUUUGAAUAAAUCAAAAUUUAGUUUNAACAGGAUAAUAAUUAUUUUUAAAAUUUAAAUUAUAAUUUUAAGUUUGAAUUUGAAUAAAUCGAAAUAAUCAUUACCCAAUAGUGUAAUUUAUGUUUUUGUUGAGAAAACUUUAAUAAGACUAUAUUAUAAGUUGCAUGACAAUUGUAGGCAAUAAUGCAAUAUUUAUAUAUAUAUUAUUUUUUUUUUUGGGUUAAUUGGAACAGAGGAAGGUGGGCCGUUCACAUCGUGUGGGCCCCGGAGAAUCAACGGCUCACGAUGCGUCGUACGAGUUGGGACCGCGGAUUUAUGAUUGUGCUGAGGGGGGAGUUUUGUAUCUUUUGUUUUGGUGGAAGCCACAACUUCAGAGGUCUACAGCUAUUGCUAUUUUCACACCCUUUUUAUAGAUUUCUGUGAGUUUUAUUAUUAAUUCUUUUGAAAUUAAAACUAUUUUAGUUUUAAUUAAUCUUACAAAAUAUAUUUUAGAAUUAGUUAAAUUUGAUGGCAAUUCUAUAGAAUAUUCUCGACUGUUUUUCUGGUGAAACUGUAAAAAACAUAUCGUAAUCGAUUCAUUACAUUCUAAAAAUUUGUCUCGUUAUGUUAUUUAUUUUGCAUAUGAAAAAAUAUAUAAAAUGGAUACAUCUAUAGAUCGAAAUUGAAAUAACUGCUUUUAUAUGUAGUAAGGCUUCGUUUGAGAUUGAAAGAGCGACGAUAGAAAAAUAUCAUGUUUGUUUCCGUACGUAAUAUUGCGUUUUGCAUAUCGCACUGAGUCGAUUACGAUAUAUUUUCUCCGGUCCCAUCAAAGAACGCAGAAGCAUAUCCCUGUAUGCUUUUUCCUCAACUCUAUUUUAUCUAAUAGCGUUAGAUAGAUCUCAAUAUCAAACUAAGUCUAAGUAUGAAUAUGAAUAUGGACAUAGAUAUAAAAUUAUUCCAAUUUUAUUACGGAUCUAAAACGGGUUCGAGCCUAAGCUUGUUGAACCAGUUUGGCCCGUCCCGAGCUGAACCCGAGCUCGAACCGGAUUCGACCCGGCCCAUCUCUUCACAACCCAACUCGAGGGGCCAAUUCUCUCUCUCUCUCUCUCUCUCUCUCCUCUUAAAUCUCCGACGCGCUAAAAACCCUACACCUCCUCCUCGCGCCUCUUCCCGCUCCGUCGCCCCCACCCCCGCCGUCGCCGCCGCAAACCCUAGCCGCCGCACCAAACCCCUGCUUGUGUUCGAUCCUCGUCGCCGCACUCGAACCAUGGGCGGAGAGAAGAGCCCCUCUCUCCUCUCGUCCUUUACAUCCGAUGGAGAUCGCUUCGCCGUUCUAUCCCCCGAUGGAACCAUCAGAGUGCGAUUCUUAUCUGAUUUUUCGCUAUUUUUCAAGCUAUUUCAUGCCAACAACAUCUACUUUUCUCUAAAGCAGCUUCUUUUCCGUGGGCCGUUUCGCCCUGCUGUAGUGUGUAGUAAUGUUGGAUUAAGUGUUUUUGAAUUAGUGCUUUUAGAAGUAGCACUACAUGGAAGUUCCUCUUUGACCUUGGCUAUAUGAUUAAAGUACUUGAAAAUGUACAAUUUACGAGGAAAUUUAAUAGUGCUGUUGUUGGAGUAACUCUUUGAGCUAAUUUAUAUCCCAUGUUCAGAUAUUGGAUACCCUAUCGGGAACAGUCGUUGCAGAAUGGAGGGACCUAUAUGUGGAUUCGACUAUUUCGUAUUCUUGCAUUUCAUGUGGUUACAUUGGAAAGAAGGUAAAAGUUUUGCUUAGUUAGUUGCUGUUUAUGGACUAAUUUAAUUAUAGCAUGGAUUAACAUGAAUUGAUUUUUCGAAUUUAUAUGCUUAUUUCCAGCGCAAGAGAGAUCAGAAAACUUUCUUACUUGCUAUCGGUACAGAAACUGGUGAUGUUUUGGCUGUAGAUAUUCUGACUAAUCAGAAAAGAUGGGUAAACAGCGAGUGCCACUCUGGGUAUGUUCUACCAGUCUUUGUGGGAGAUUUGUUGAUUAUGACUAUGUUAUUUAAAGCUAGGACUGUUUUAUGUUAGCGAAGAAUCGUCAAAAUUAUGGGAGAAAUCAAGAUUGUUGAACCCUGUUAUCUUGGGAGAAAUCAAGAUUAUUGAACCCUGUUAUCUUGUUUGUGGAUUAUAUUUGAAAUCCAUUAAAAUUUAAGAAUUGUAUGUUGUUUAUGAAUAUUUGAUGUUGCCAAAUUGAGUCAUCAAAGGAAGGUACUUUCUUCCUUAUAUUUGAUGCAGUACAAUUUCCAUCUUUAAUUUGUAAAAAGACUCCCCUAUUGUUGUUUGGAAACUUGUAUAUGUAUGUACUCCUCAACCUUGUAAACUUUGAGAGAGGGAAGCCACCUGUAUACUUUUUCACGUUUUACAUGUAGUCACGAGCCCGCUUGAUCUAAACAUUUUGAAACUAACUUUGUAGGGUGAUUAUCGGGGAAAUGUUACUUAAAAAUUCUUCUAGCUAAAUAGAAUUAUGUCCAACAUGCUAGCUGACCGUUUCUAGAUUGCUUUAGUACUUAAUUUGUUAUGCUGAUGAAGAUAUCUUACUUUAUGUUUCUCUGUCCAUUUUUUAUUUCUCUAUUAAAUUUGUCCUCCUGUACACACAACGUGAUAUUGUUCUUAUUUCCUUAGUGGGGUUGCUGCUCUUUGUUUCACCAAAAAAGGCCGUAUUCUUUAUUCUGCUGGGACUGAUGGCAUGGUGUAUGAACUGAAUUCUGAUACGGGAGAAAACAUUGGGCAAUUCAACGCUUCAAAGAGGUCAAUUACUUCCCUAACCCUUUCAAGAGGUGAGUGCAACUUUAGAUAUAACCUUCUUAAUUUGGGUACCAUGUUUUACUUCCAGAAAUACUAUGCAAAUUGCUAUAUUUCCUUUCCUAUAAGUCGAAAGUACACUAUAUCAGAUAAUGGCUGUGAUAAUAGGUGGAAAUCAAUGGCUCAGUGAAUAGCCUUCAUUUACUAUUAAUUAUUUGACUUCUUCAUGCUGGCAGAACUAAGUAUCUUCAAACAUCACUAGAAUCAAUUAGGAAACAAUUCAAUCUAUUGGAUUAGAUCCUUUUUGAGUUGACUUUGAUGUAUUCUGCAUAUAGUUAAAGUACUCUCCUUUGCAUAUAAAAGUCUCAUGCACUGGUCGGAGUGGUAAAAAUCUAAUUUAGGAUCUAUUUUAAACUGGGAGUUUCGCACUAUAAUUACUUUAUGUAAUUGCUAUACUACAAUCACCUUGAUCCUCUAAAAUUAGCUGCUUGUGCUUUGAACAUUAGAUGAGAAAGUCAUGGCUGUAGCUAGCAAUAAAACACGGCUGUUCAGCUGGGAGGACAAAAAGGAGCUUUUGAAGAUUCCUUCUGAUUAUGUACGCUAAUAUCACUUUGCACCUUCUGGAGUCUCUUUUCCUCUUAAUUUAUUUACUUUUCAUAGUCAUAUUUUCUUCUAAUUAUAAUGCUGUGUUGAGGUUGUUGUGUUGACAGGGUACUGUUCAAUACAUAGCUGUAUCAGAUGAUGGGGAUGUUGCUGUUUCAUCUGUGACUGGACACAAACAACUUCAAAUGUGGUCUUUUGAUCAUGAAAAUGAAAGGAGUACAGCUGAGUUUGCCCUUUCCAUGCAAAGUAUACCAAUUAUGUUGGAAUGUAGAGGUUCUAAGAAGACAGAUAGCUUAUACGUUCUCUCAGUUUCAGAAAAAGGCAUUGCUUAUGUGUGGCAUUUGAAAAGCAUGUCUCGAGAUGGAGUUCUGCGAACUAAAAUCCUGGUUAAAUCAAAAAAACCAAUACUGGAUGAAGGAAAAGGUGGCAAAAAAGAUCGCGUGCCUAUAGUUUCUGCUAUGUUGUGUUAUGCAGAGGAAGAUGCACAAGCUUCAGUCCUUGUUGCCUUUGGUUCGCUUGAUAAUUUGCAGUUCAGAUUUGUUGAGGUGAAUGAUAGUGGCAAAGAUAUCUACUUGACGGCUGAUAAUGAAAUGUCAGUUGAUAAAACACUGAGGACACAUACAGAUUCUAAUGCAGAAGGUUUGUUGUAUUUGUACUUAUAAUCUUUUAUUCACAUUCCAGUUUUCGGCUUCUCUUUUGUUUGGUGGCUGAUCUUUUGUUUUAUAGAGCUUGCAAAUUCCUCUCACCUCUAAGCACUUUCUUUGAUGGCAUAUUUGCUACGCUUGAGCCAAGAUGCCAUUUUUGUACAUUCCUAACUGUUGAAUCUCAGUUUUUGGAGAAUAAUUUCUCUCUUGUGGGCUUUAACUCCCGGACUGGGAAAUAAUUACUGAUUUUUGUGAUUCGCAACUUUUUUUGCAAGUAUAUAGUGUUAUGAAGAAUGAAGAAGGAAAAAAGGGGUGGGCACAACUAUUAAGGAUGGCAUGCUUAUAUUUGCCAAGACAAGGAUAUUCAAAGCUGCUGAAUAAAGCGGCGCGUUAUGUUUUUAAUUAAAGACCAUUUAGUAGCUAUGACAAUCCGCUUAAAUUUGUUGUUUCUGUUGCAACAGAAAUUGAUGGCGAUAUCAAAAGUUCUAAUUUAGGAGAGACAACUACUCCAAGCCAGAGAAAAAGAGCAAAGAAGCGAAUGACACCAGAUUCAGACACUGCAAAUGAAGGUUCUUUGUCAACUGGGUAAAGAGUGUGCAUUCUGCUCCCUUUUCUGUUGAUAGGUAAUUAAUUUCAAACCAUUUUGUAGAGGCAGUUCGUGAACCAGUGGCUGAAUUUGAUCUCGAUGAGCCAACUAUGGCUGAGAAACUAGCUAGCCUUGACUUGCAAAAUGGUGAGAACGAAAAGAGUGAUGUGGAAAAAGCAUCAUCUCCAACUAUCAAGCCUCCUAGUGCAGAUUCGGUGCAUGUUUUGCUGAAACAAGCACUACAUGCUGAUGAUCAUUCGUUAUUAUUGGACUGUUUGUACACUAGGGAUGAAAAGGUAUGGCCCAUUGCCUUUUACUCACUUGACGUUGUUACGAUACUUUUCUCUGCUGCAUUAGUUUGUCAAAACUUUCAUCUUAUCAUAACUUGCUUAUUAUUAUGUUACUUUAUAACAGGUCAUUGCAAAUUCUAUAUCACUUUUGACUCCAGCAGAUGUUCUCAAGCUUUUAAAAUCCAUUAUGUUAAUGAUCCAAUCAAGGUAAUUAAUUAUGUACUCAUAAAUUUGUCUUAAGAUCAUGCACAAGAUAGAUCUAUUUAAAGCAUUCUUUUUCUUUUUUCUUUUUUCUUUUUUCUUUAAGGGGCGGGUUGGGGGGCGUGGGGUUGCAGUUGAACCUAUUCUGAUAUCUGAUUUAUAUUUCUAUUGUAAUAGGGGUGCAGUAUUAAUCUGUGUAAUUCCAUGGCUAAGGAGUUUGCUUGGUCAACAUGCAAGCAGUAUAGCAUCCCAAGACUCAUCUCUACAACUCCUCAACUCUUUGUAUCAGGUUAGCAUUAUUUUCUUUAAGGCACUUUCUAUUGACGGACUUUGUAGUCAUGCGAGAUAGUUUUAAAAAAGUUAAGUGCCUAGUCUCAAAUCUCAUAAUCUAUGAACUCUGCAACAAAUGAUCUGUAUAAUGAGAUCACAUAUGUUAUGUUUGCGGUAAUGCCCUCUCUGAGAGCUAAUAAGCUGCAGCAAACUUGUAAAGUUGACACUCUACAUGUGCAUGCACAGGCAAAAUAUCAUAUUAACACAUGAUGCAGCAUUGAGAAAGUGCGCCUCACUAUUAACAUGUGUACAUAUUUAUGUGCUAAGCCGAAAUGCUUCUCUUAUUGUGUAUAUGCUAUAACAUGGUACAUGACCAUAAAACCUAGCAAAAAGAUGCACUGAAAUUUUUAGUCUGUUUUAAAGUUAAAUUGUUUGCGGAAGUUGGCACCUUCUUUGAUUUCGAUAAUACAAUAUUAAUUGUUAUUAAUUUUCUUCUGUAGCUUAUUGAUUCGAGGAUCUCAACAUUUGGAUCGGCUCUCCAACUUUCUACAUGUCUAGAUUACCUUUUCGUUGGGGUAAGAUUUUUCCCCCCUCCUCUUUUGGCCCUUAAUAUGAAGAAUGUGUUACUCCUUGGCUUUUGGAACAGCUUUGCUAUCCCGAGAAACAACAACGAAAAUUCUUGGCAAAAAAAAUAAAUGAAAAUCUACAGCUUUUAAAGGCUGACAACUUGAAUGAGCUUUUGGGAUGCCAAAUGCGAAAGUUCCGAAAUGAAACUUACGCUUCCGUUGUCACAACUGGAUAUUAAGGGGAUUUUAGUCUUUAAAAAAGCAAAAAUAUUUUGUUAUUACUUCUUCAAAGUUCGAACUGUACUUAGACAGUACUUCUGCAAAAGUUUUAGCCAGGCCAAAUUAGUCUUAAGUGUUAAUAUACUAUUCAUUCUAUCCAUAUGCUUCUUCAUAGAUCUGUGACGACGAAGCUGAUGAUGAAGCAACCACCCUGCCCAUAAUUUAUGAGGACAAGGACAGUGAAGAGGAGGAAGGAGAAGAAUCUGAAGACGGAGAUGCAAUGGAAACUGAUGAUAAUGAAGAGUUGGGAGACGUGAUUGAUGCUCCACAUUAUUCUGAUGGAAGUGAGGUCAUGAGUGAUUGAUGCAAUUAACUCACAAUGGUGCAUAGUCGGGAGCUUGUCGUGUUAUUUAGAUUAUGAGCUUCAGUUCUUUUACCAGGAAAACUGGGAAAAAGAACGUAAAUUUUGGUACUAGCUACAUAAAUGGAUGUUCUUUAAAUUAUAUCUUCAGAAGCCUAUAUGUUGUAAUUUGUUUAUUGAAGAAGGUGGUGCUUUUGUUCUAUUUUAUUUUUUAUUCGAAAUGAAUGAGUUGAUUGGAGCGGCAGUAGUUGUCAGCUUAAUAAGUUUUAACCCGAAUCUCUACCUACUGGUAGAAUAUGAAUGGUUGGUUAGGAGUUUGGGCACGUUAUUUAUUUAUUUAUUCUCACAGUGUGUUGCUACAGCAUAGUUUGAAAAUUGAGUUCUCCAGACACAUCCACAUCUACAUGGUCUUCCUCAGACAACUUUAAAAUAGUUUGACGUUCUACACUUUCGACGCUGAAAUUCGCCGGGAACAUAGCAUCUGUUAUAAAUGAAGCUGUGAAAUAACCUUCACAUAUUUUUAAAUUUUGUAAAAAUAUGAAAAAAAAAAAACAUGGGUCGUGAGUACAUGGGCCAGGCCCAGGUCGAGUCACGGCCCAGCCGUUAUCUACGAAGCCGAUAACAAAUUGGGAUCUUAAAAAAAAGAAAAAGAAAAAUGAAAACAUCUCCGCCGCUCCCCUAUUUAUUCCCUCCCCGCAUUUCCAUCGCUUCUCUUCACUCGUAAAAGUCGCCCUCUACGCACGCCUCUCACUCUCCCCCUUCCUCCUCUUCGAUCUCCGAGCGAAGAUGAGGCCCUCGAUGCUCCGAUCCAUCUCCUCCGCCCUCCUCCGCCGCCGUGGGGGCGGCGGCGCCGCCGCAGCCCCCGGCGUCCUCGCCCGCUCCUUCGCCUCCGACGCCUCCCCCGCGCGCAAGGUCGCCAUCCUCGGCGCCGCUGGAGGGAUCGGCCAGCCCCUCGCCCUCCUCAUGAAGCUCAACCCCCUCGUCUCCUCCCUCUCCCUCUACGACAUCGCCGGGACCCCCGGCGUCGCCGCCGACGUUAGCCACAUCAACUCCCGCGCCGAGGUGCUCGAUCUCGUUCCCCUCCUCCGAUCUCGUAGAUCUAGUGCGAUCUCGUAGUUUUGGUGCUCUCGCUGUGCGAUCUCGUAGGUCUGAUGCGAUUUAGAGGUUUGGAUCUGAUUCCCUGCUUCGGAUUGAUCCAGGUGAAGGGUUUCGCGUCGGAGGAUCAGCUCGGCGAGGCCCUCGAGGGUUCCGAUGUCGUCGUCAUCCCCGCCGGGGUGCCGCGGAAACCCGGGAUGACCCGCGACGAUCUCUUCAACAUCAACGCCGGCAUCGUCAAAUCCCUCUGCACCGCCAUCGCCAAGUACUGCCCCAAUGUAUGUGAUCUCUCAUCUUCCCUAAUUUCCCUCUGUUAUUAUUCUCUCUCUCUCCUUUUUUCCCCCUUUUUUCGUGUAAGAAUUGUACAGGACCCUACUCAUCAUCAAUAGCCAGUACGCAAUGGACCAUCUUAACAAUUUUCCUUUUGAUUGACAUUCCCUCAAAUUUUGAUCCUCAUAUAAGCUAUUCGCGUUAAUUAGGUUCGGAUUUUGUUAGAUUUAAUGGCGAUUCUGUCGAAUUCAAUUGUUCCAAAAAACUUUUUCAGCUGAUGGAACUACUGAUUUUGUUAACUGUUGACCGUUGAUUUUAUCGGAUUCUCCAGUUAAAAGCUGACAGGUGUCAAUGAAAAAAAAAAAAAAGUCUCUUUGAAAAUGGUCUAUAGUUGAGGGAUUUCUCCUUAUACUUCUACCUUGUUUUUUUAAUUUUCUACUCUUUGUUCAAUUGUUUUUGGCUGGAUUUAGGCUAUUGUAAAUAUGAUCAGCAAUCCGGUGAACUCCACGGUGCCGAUUGCAGCAGAGGUUUUCAAGAAGGCCGGGACAUAUGAUGAGAGUAAGCUCUGCGGUGUUACCACUCUCGACGUAGUCAGAGCCAAGACUUUCUAUGCUGGCAAGGCAAUGGUUCCGGUUGCUGGUAAUUGCUUUUCCUUUGGACUAGGAUGUUUGUUUUCAUGGAUCAUUAGAUUGGAUCUGAACAAUGUUGAAUGGUUUAUUGGUUUGGCAGAUGUUAAUGUCCCUGUUGUCGGCGGCCAUGCUGGUAUAACAAUCUUGCCUCUAUUUUCUCAGGUACUUACGUUGAUUUGAACUGUUGGUUCCUUAUUUUAUAUAUUCGUAGUUUUUGUGUGGAUUAGAAAAGCUUUCCUGUUUGAUCUUCGUUUGCAAGUUUGGAGAUGUUGUUUAUCUUAAUUUCCGAUUUGGAUACAGGCGACUCCUGCUAGUAACGCAUCAUUGUCUCAUGAGGAUAUCAAGGCUCUAACAAAAAGGACACAAGAUGGUGGGACGGAGGUUGUGGAGGCAAAGGCAGGAAAAGGCUCUGCAACGCUAUCUAUGGCGUAAGUAUCAAAUACCUAUGGAGCUAACUCUUGUUUCUUUCUGAGAUUUGGACCUGUAGUAGUUCGCCUUCCUUCGUCCCAACAGUUUUCCGCAUCGUGGUUGUAUUACUUUGUAGCCUAGUAGGUCCUGCUUCAGUUUCUGUAGCUAUUUGUAAGCAAAAAUAACAAAAGUAAGCAAAAAUAACAAAAGAAGUCAGGCUAUGCUAGUUCUAGAAUUGAAGCACUUGGUCCCUAAUUUUUUUUUUCUGGCAGGUGACAUGAACAAAACUAUUAUACUGCUUGGUUGUUACUUUUUCUCUGUAUAUUUCGUUUGCUAGCUUCUCUGUCGGAUGUAAGGACUUCAAGUUCUGAUUUCUAGUUCUUGCUGUGUCACAUAUUGCUCUAUACAGUUUGUUUAGGAAGUCUUUCCUCCUCGACCCUCUUUUUCUUUUCAUCUUCUGCUGUGCUGUCGUGUUUGCUGGCUCCCUUUCCCUUUAAGUCGAUCCCCCCUAUUAUAGAAGUCCUAGAUUUUUAUUUGGGACCAGGUUUGGCAUUUUGAGAGAGAUUCAUGAGGUAGCCUCCUUUUCUUCCCCUCCUGCAUAGUUUUAAUUACUUGAUUGGUUUUAGAAGUUAUGGGGACCUCUUCUACCUUAACCUUUUAAUGUAAGGUGUGGUAGAAUAAACAUGGCUGCAUCCAAUUUGCAAAAGCUGUUUUGCUGUAAUUCUUAUCUUCUAUGUCUUCCUAUUGGGACUAGGGAGCACCUUUGGUAGAUAGGUUGUUGAUCAUAGCUGCAUGAGGUCUUGUUGCACUCGAAAUGACAUCUUUCAAAACUGACUGCAUAGCUAGAAAUGUGUUGUUGUUGUUUUUUUUUUUUUGGGGGGUUGUAAGUACAUCCAUUCAUGGAAGUGUUAUGAUUGUAGCACCUCCGCGUACAUGUUUCAAAUAGAAGCUCCAGUAAUUUCUGUUCACCAUUUGCUAGCAUAGAAAUUGACAAACAGUAGCUGGUUGGUGAUCUUAUAUGCCAAUAACAAUUUCCUUUCUCUUGAUGGCUAGUGGAAGAGCUCAAAUCUAUUAUCCUUAUUUACCCGUCUCUAACUAGUACAAUUUGGUGCAGGUAUGCUGGAGCCGUCUUUGCAGAUGCAUGUUUGAAGGGUCUUAAUGGUGUUCCUGAUAUUGUUGAAUGUUCUUAUGUCCAGUCGACCAUCACCGAGCUACCUUUCUUUGCCUCUAAGGUAAUUUCGUAAUGUUUGUAAGACUGCCUAUUCUUCUGCUCAAGAUAAGAUUCCCUUAACUUGCUUUUAUAUUAAUCCACCGUUUAUCUGGCAUUGUAUGUUAUAUCAUCGUCUACCUAUGGUUUUGAAUGGGAUUGCCGAAUGACUAUACUUUGUCUCAUAACUAUUGACUGAUAUGAUGAAGAAACUGUUAACAAUACAAAGUAGAUGAAUUACCAUUCCCUAUCUUCUCGAGCUUUCGAACUUAACAAGUUACUGAAAUGCCUGUUUGGCCUGUGUUUCUGGCGUAGCUUCUCCACUCUGAAAAGCAUUAGUUGGGUGUUUGGGAAACAAAGUAUUUGGAGCUUUUGCUGUGCUUUAAGCUGAGAUAGCUUCAGGGCAUCAAAACAGAAGCUCAAAUUUUUUAAGUUCCUGCUGCUGCUGCAGUGGAAAUUUGUCACAAUUUCUACGGUAGAGCCGUAGAGGCUAUCGGUUCUUCUUCAAACAGCCGAACAGCUCUACUCAAUAUUGUGUUUCUCCAUUAAGCUUUUGCUGGGUCAAUCUGAGAAAAGUUCAUGGCAUAUGCAUUUUAAUUGUCCUCUAACAAAAGAGUAACUGAUUGUGUAACCACAGCAGGUUUAUGGCGCAUUUGGCAUGCAUGGCUAGAUUAACUAACUUACGGACCUAGAUACCCUUUUUUUAAAAAAGUUCAAUUACCUUUUGACAGGUGAGGCUUGGGAAGAACGGGGUAGAGGAGGUGCUUGGAUUGGGCCCCCUCUCAGACUACGAGAAAGAGGGUCUCGAAAAUCUCAAGCCCGAGCUCAAAUCCUCCAUCGAGAAGGGCAUCAAAUUCGCGAAAGAGAACUAAUUAGGUCGAUUGAUGAGGUUUCCGAACCAUUCCCAAUUUUGUAUUUGUACUCCGAGGGUCUAUCCUCUCAAAUGUUGUUGUGGUUAAGCUAUUAUUCUUAGACUGCUUUUAGCCGCGGCUCAGCUCGGGCACUCCUGAGGCUUCUUCCUUACACAAUAAAUCACGCGGAAUACUGAAGAAAACUUCAAUUUAAUUUGAUUAUGAGGCUGUUUAGCUGCAGUUGAUCAUGUUGUUUAUUAAUUUAGCCACCGAAUCGUUCUUCAGAUUUUGUUUAUUCUUGAAGUUUGAUGUCAGAUCUGCGAGAAAAAUUAUGCAUUAAGCAAAUACUCCCCAGAAAAUUUGGUGUAGCAUUCUCGGUUUUCCGACUCUUCAAUUUUAAAUUUUAGCAACAAGAGGUUCGUAAAUCCAAUUUGAGUUGUUGGUGUGUUAUAGAGACAACCCCAAUUUGGGAUCUGUAAAUUAACUACUUUAAAUAAUGGUGGUAAGCGAAAAUUGGUAGCUGUUUCAAAGAUGCAAUAAAAAGUACUACGACAGCAUAAAUAAAGUGGAAAGCAAUGGCACAUGAGCAAAACCAAAUUAACUUAAGAACGGGUCAAAUCACCCUUUUCGUUAACUACACCUUUAUAUCUAGUUAGCUAAUGUAAAUUUACGCAUAAAUAAAGAGAUUAAAAAUGCUUUGCUUACAAACAAAUAUUAUAAUAUUUUACAAACUAGGUAACUGUAUGAAUGUAUUUCAAUCAUGAAAUUGUAAAUUAUACUUAUCUCCUCGUGAUUUGUACUUUUUCAUCAAUUAAAUACCAUCUAAUUUAUGCUAAUUUGUAAAAUAUUGUAAAAUUUAUUUAUAAGUAUAGUAUUACUCUAUGUUCAAUAACCACUUGUCGGUGGGGCUAGGGCACUAAUAAAGAUUCAACAAAAGCGGACAAAUUUGGGGGCAACUUGAGCUGUCGGAAAGCUGAUUUAACAACAACAACAAUUUAUGGAUCUGACCUCGCUGGCUCUUUCCAUUUUGCCCAAUCUAUGAAAGGAAUUCCUCAUUAGUACAUUUAUUAGGUGAAUCCACAUUUUCGUCUAUCAGUUUAAACUUGUAAAUUAUUACUAAGUUUUUUAAAUAUAAACUCAUUGAGUGUAUAAUAUUCAGAGACCAUUCUCCCACAACAUAAUUUUUUAAAGAAUAUAUAACAGUUGUUUUAAUUAAUAUUAAUUGAAGUUCAUAUUUGGAGUCUAUUAAAAUAUCUCAAAUUUAAAUAUGAGCAAAAGUGCUGAAUAUAUAGCCAUUUAAUACCGUUUUUUGAUAGUGUAAGUUUUCGAAGUGUAACAGUUAUUUUUUGUACCUUUAUUGGUGAUAUUCCAGUCAAGUUUAUAACUCUGUUAUUUCUGAUGAAUUUGACGAUUAUCUACUAACCGCAUCACGCAUUAAUAGUGAUUAACAUAUAAAUACUUCAAAGCACAUAUUUUAGAUCACAAAAACGUAAAAUACAAUUAAUAAUAAUAAUUCUCAUUAAGGUAAGCUCUUUUAAAGUUGUUCCUUUCCUUCGUUUAAGACAUACCCGCGCUGUUGCUCGGCAUUGCAUGCGUCACACAUUCCCUUCCCAAAAAUCGCACCACCACCGACCAACUUUUGUGAAAGGGCAAUGCUUUGGGCCCUCAGAGAGCUUUUCAUAAAAUGUUGAUGCGUUAAUAGUUUUGUAUAAAACUUAUUUUAGAUUAUAUUUUGUUUGAAAUACAAUCGGUAGUACAUAAAUAAUAUUUAUUAUUUAUUUUUUAGUUUUUUUCCAAAAAAAUAUUUUAUAUUAAAUUUAUGUAUAAAUUAAUCUUAUCAAGUGAUAUAUCAAAAGAUUUGUUUAUAUAUUUUUUAUUAGUAUUCUAAAGAUGAAGUCACAUUUUUGCUUCGAUUUUCAACGGUUUUUCGGAUAAUAACGCAGUAGUUGUCACCUCAACUAACUAACGACUCAGUUGUCUGAGGCUUUAAACUUUUGACAAUGAAGUUUUCCCAAAUAUCAAAAGGAACGAAAAUGUAUGAAUAUCCUAUUGCCAUUUGCUCCCUCUAUUUUUGGCUCGAGUAAUUUCUCAAUUUUCACUUUUAUUAUAUUUUAAUUUUUACUGGCAAUUUUUUUUUUCCUUUUUUAGAUUUUAGGGUGAAGAGAAAGUUUUUUUUAUUCCUCUAUUUGUAAAAUAUACAAAAAUAUUUGCCCAAGUAGAUUGUGACACCCUAGUUUUUCGGGGGGUCAUUCAUAUUAGGAUUAUUUUCGUCCUAAUGGUCUAGUCACUGUCUAACAUGUUUAAAUCGGAUUGAGAGUUUUAGUUCUAUUAUAUUUUAUAUAUAGAACUAUUCGAGACUUUUCUCUUAAGUUAUAAUGUUAUUCAGACUUAAUAAUAGAUGAUGUGAGAUUCAUCUCGCUAGUCUAAAUCGAUUUUGUAAUGAGCUGCGCUUCACCUAUAGCAACUAACAUUAUAAGAGUCUCGCUCUCUCCAUCGUAUAAUUCUGACUCAGUUGGGAUUCAUCUUAUAUUUUCGACCGAUAAUUAUGACAUUGAAACCAAAAUCUCAAUGUCGGAAUAUUAUAUGGACUAAUUUAUACCUAUCACCCAACUAAAAUGAGACUACGAGAGUUGUUGGAGCGCACAAGCAAUCGAGAGAGAAGCUUGUGGAAACUCUACAACAACAACAACAACAACAACUCUCUCUCGCUACAACAACAACAACAACAACAACUCUCUCUCUCUCUCUCUCUCUCUCUCUCUCUCUCUCUCUCCAAUGAGUUCCUCAUCCUCUUCUAUACUCCAUAUUCCUAUUCAAAUUCUCUUUAUCAUAAUCGUGAUCUCCGAUCGCUGCAGCAGCUUUGCAUGCUACACGCGCAUCUUCAGCUUCGGCGACUCGCUGACGGACACGGGCAACUAUCUGCAGUCCCUCGACGGCCGUCCCGACCCUGUCCGCAGCCUUCCCUACGGCCAGACCUUCUUCGGCCACGCCACCGGCCGCUUCUGCAACGGCCGCCUCAUCGUCGACUUCUUAGGUCCCAUCUUCUCUCCGCACCACCAAAGAUUAUUUCUGAAUUAUUUUCUAUCUAAAUCUCAGUCACAUGUCUCGUCGUAAAAUAUAUAUAUAUUUGAUUACAUGUUGUGGGCUCAAUUUCCCAUAUCCUGCAUUUGUACGACACAUCAAUGGGCGUGUUAUUCUAAAUCAUUACAUCUAAAGUAGUAUUUUAAGUAACAUGGUAUCAGAAUCCGUACUCUCGAAAUUUUUAAAAUCUCUUUCGUAAUUAUCACGUCUAUUGAUUAAUUUAAUGGGUCAAAUUCACUCUUUUUUCUUCCCAUUGUGUCAUCUAUCUUUCGAGUGAUUGUAGGUUCAAUCAUUCUUAUUUUUUCUGUCAGUUUACGUGACGUGAUUUAUCUGAUCUGAUCUUUAUGGUACGCGUGAUUCUAGAUGUUAAAAUUGUUUUUGAAUUGUUUUUUAUAAGAUCGAUCUUUUGGGUAACAUGCUCUGCUUGGUGCAGCCCAAGCAUUAGGAUUGCCGUUCCUUCCGCCGUAUCUUGCGGGACGGACGGCGGAGGAUUUCCCGCACGGGGCCAACUUUGCGGUCGCCGGGGCCACCGCAAUGAACGGCUCCUUCUUCGAUGCAAACGGGGUCACGGUGACGUGGACGGAGUACUCGUUGGGCACUCAGCUUCAGUGGUUUAAGAAGCUGCUCCCUUUGAUCUCCUCUGAUUCAGGUUCGCUUCUCUCUUUGCGGCAUUUCGUCGAGCACGUUGUGUGCGUGCGUCGCUUGCUUGCUAAUUAGCCAAAAUAUGAAGAAUUGUGUGUCUAUUUUGGAUAUUGUGUGUGUUGCUUGUUCUUAGAUCUCUCCGUCGAAUGUUCAAAUUAAUGUAGGAAAAACCACACCAAUGUGUAGGAUUUUGGGAGAGUAUGUACCGAGUGUUCGAUUCUAGCUCCGAAUUUCAAUGUAGUUUACCCUUCGUGUGUUAAAAGAAGACAUCCUAAAUGACCACUUUGGUUUCAAAGAUGUGAUGAAUUGUAACUAGAAAUGCGGCAAAUUCAGGGCCAAGAGUAAAAGCAAUCGAUGUCGUCCACAAAAAUACUCGUAUCGUAGACAAAAAAUUGUCUUAGAAUAGAGUGUACACUAUAACAUCAUAACAUUUAAAACCAUAUUAUUAGUUCAAUCAUUACUGUAAUGUUUAAGAUCUUCCUGUACGAUAUAGGGGUUAUAAGAUAUACACAUUUCCACUCUUUGGACAGUAAAUAAGAACUCCAACAAGCUAAUCUAGUUACCAUAAUUAUUUAUAAGCAUCUGUCAAACCGAGCACCGAUGCAUUCUUGACUAAAUUACAUGCAAGCAGCAUGUUUAUGUAAUAAAAAGUUUUGUUGCAUUACAUUAACCAUUGCUGAUAAAUUUUAACAGCACAAUUUUCCGACUUGGUUGCUCAACUCAUCUUGACUUUCAAUUAUGCUGUUUUUCAACUCAUCUUGACUUUCAAUUAUGCUGUUUUUCAACUCAUCUUGACUUUCAAUUAUGCUGUUUUUCAACUCAUCUUGACUUUCAAUUAUGCUGUUUUUCAAAGUGUAGUAACUUGUGUCCAUCAAUUUAGGUAUGUCAAAUGCCAAUAUGAAUGUCGGUCCUGGUUACUGUUAAUAUUUGGACCAUAAUUUACCUCAUAAGGGCAAGAAAUUGCGAGUAAUACAAGGUUUUUGCAAGAUUUUGCCCUUUUCUGAUGUCCGUAAUAAUCAAAUCCGGAGUUCCACGAAUCUCCAAACGAAGCUUCACGUACCCUGGUCUUCAAAAUCAUCUUAGAACUCUUGACUCAAAGGCUGUAAUUGUGUUGCUUGAGAGCUGAGACUAUCUUGGCGUCGUUAAGUAGCUAAUUCUACAUUACUUGAACCUCUCGAUAGACGAUGAACUUGUUGGUUCGAGAUUGAUAGUAAAAUUAAUACAUUUUGAAAUUUUGACUUGCUAUACAAAUUUGGUAAUUAGGUGGUAAUUCAUUCAAAAGCUUAACUACCAGGAAAUAGCUAAAUUUUCAUACAUUCAGCUGUUGACAAAGUCGAUAAACCAUUUGCCAUUGUAUUGAAGAUGCUCUUGGCUUGUUGAAGUUUUGUUCUGCUCCACAGGGAACCUCUUUUGUGUCGGGUAAAGCGUUACAGCAAUCGUGCCAUUUUACCUAUUGUUACUGCUUACUGCUUCUAGUGCUUCAUGGCCCUUAUCCACCCUUUACAGAUAUUAAAAUAAAUAUGAGUCGAGUUAGUAAUAAAUGUUUUAUGUAGAUCGGAGCAAGAUCAUGAACAGCUCGCUUUUCCUUGUGGGUGAGAUCGGAGGAAAUGACUACAACCAUCCACUCUUCCAAGGCAAAACUAUCGAGGAAGUGCGCUCUUUUGUUCCGAGUGUCAUCACUACCAUCGGAUCUGCAAUCAACGUGAGUGCCAUUUCUUUUCUCUCAACAGAUCAUUUUCAAAGGGGUACAACGUAUCGAUGUCCCAGUACGACUUUAAUACUCGAACCUUCUAAUGGAUUAAAAUUUUAUCCCUGACCUUAAGAAAGAAUAGUCCGUACAUUUGAAUUGCAAUAUACGAGGAGGUUUAUGAUCUUAACUGUUUAAAUGAAGAAAUAGUCCAUACAUUUGAAUUGCAAUAUAUUAGUGUGCCAUCUGAAACAUCAUCUGCUGAACUUUGAACUUUAGCCCGCAGGAUCUGAUUGAACUCGGCGCGAGGACAUUGGUGGUGCCGGGUAACUUCCCAAUGGGAUGUGUCCCGACGUACCUCAUCGAAUUCCAAAGCCCAGAGGAGGAAGAUUACGACCCGCAAACAGGUUGUCUUAAGCAGUUGAAUGAGUUUGCGGAGUACCACAACCGCCAACUUCUGAAUGAGUUGGACAAGCUUCAAAGGCUUCACCCUCAUGCUACAAUAAUCUACGCCGAUUAUUAUGGACCUUCAAUGAAUGUUUAUCAUUCGCCGGAACAGUUUGGUGAGUUCUUUUUCCUCUUGCAUUUCCAAUGAUGAAUAUCUUUUUUUCUCCACAAUAAUCCUGCGAGUUUUUUUCCUUUUUUCUUUUUCCUUCUUACUUCUAACGUUGUGUUAGGGGGUUCUUUAAAAAAGAAUAAUUUAAGAAGUCAAGAAGAAGAAUGAAUUGCUUAUUGCUAAUCCUUUAGAUUCCUCUGAAAUUACAACCUAUCACUAAAAAUGCUCUAAUCAAGCAUUUCGCUUGAAUAUAUUUAUUAUGUUGUCUGCAGCUACCUUAGACCCUACUCUUUGCAUCUCAGAUGUAACCUAUUCUGACCUUUCUGAUGUAAAGUUCUUGGACUUCUUGGUACUGUAGUGGAAAUAAUUUCCUCCUGCAUUCAAUAUAAUAGAGAACCAUGACCUAAAUUUAGAAAUUUUAGCCAAGGAUGUUUCGGCUUUGUUUAUAUUUUACUUUUUUGCUUUAUUUCUGUCUGAUUUAAUACAUCUGGUUAUGUACUACUCUUUUCUUGUUUUUGGUGGUUGCUUUGCAAGUUACUCCUUUUUUAAGGAUCAAAGAAGGAUAAGUUACUGGUAAACUUUCCUCCUUUUUUUUUUUUUUCAUUUUUGUUGACAAAAACAGUACAGUUCUAGGAUUUGCAAACUACUAUGCAAGUUCAUCCAUAGGUGCUUCAAUCACAUAGAACCUGAGUGAAAACAAUAGCAAUGAAACACAAAAGAUAUCAUAGAAGGUCAAAAGCUAGUGUCAUGUAGGUUGACUUGGUGUCCUGUGCUUCCUGAAGUUUAUUAUAACGAAGUUGAAAAUUGACUUCCGCUACUGAAGGCAUGCUUUACUAUAAUGGAGCUAAAAAGGAUUAAUUCCAAUUACGUAAUGUUUUACUAGUCCUGAUUCUAUACAACCACAAUCUCUUCCUAAAACAAGUGCUUCCGAAAUUCAAGGACAUAAGACCAAGAGAAACAAAGCAAUUCAGCAGAUUAUCUGCUCUCAGGCAAUCCUUUUAAAUGAAGAUUGAUGUGGUGACAGGAAUCAAGGCACCCCUCAAUGCGUGCUGCGGAAGUGAUGCUCCUUACAACUACACCCCAUCAGUAUACUGCGGGAGCCCAGAGUCAAUCGUAUGUGCCGAUCCAUCAAAGUAUGUUUCCUGGGAUGGGUUACACUUAACCGAGGAGGCUUACAAGAUAGUUUCUCUUGCGAUGUUACAAGGGCCGAAUGCUCUUCCUGCUCUAAAAGCGUGCGCUAAUAAUCAAACCACCAAUAAUCAAACGAGCGCUGCGCGUGUUCUCUAUCCGCGCCACUUGCAGUGGAUAAGCUGGACAAUUGUACUCUCCACUCUAUUGUAGCUGUUGGUUUCUAUGGAGGAGAAAUAGAGCUAGAUUUUCCUUUACACAAGUGCCACUCAUGCGUAAGUUUCUUAUUCUGUGUUAUUGCUGUUGUUCUUUCUUUGACAAUUUAUUCUAUGUGGCAUACGAGGCAUAUAGUGAUUUGUUAUAGAGAAGCACUUUUGUAGUACUGAGAUAAAGUGAUUAGUUAUAAACUAAACUUGAGUUAUGCCUUGUGCUUGGCGUUAUCUUUCGAUUACCUGUUUGAAUAGCCAACUACUUUUGAAUUUCUUCCUGUGAUAUGAUUAUGCGAAGCUGAUUAAGGAAAAAAUGUUUUAUUUAGCAAUGAUGAAUAGUGGAUUUUGGAAAAGCUUAGCUUAACAGACUAAAAUUAAUCAGCAUGAAACUCGGCAAGAAAUCGUUGUUAUUUGGUAGAUCCGCUUACUUAAUCAAAAGAUCAUAUAGGUUUGGUACACUAAUUUGACCUAGUGAUUUAUACUUUGUGAUUCAAAAUAUGUGUCUCUCACAAUGUGUAGUUCAUUCUCCAAGUGAUGUUUAGUGUUGGCUUUGUAUACAGGGAUGAAUUAAUAUCCUGUUUUCUUCCUAAAUCUUCCUGCUUCAUUUGACCAUAGGAACUGGGCUGGGUAGUUUUCUCUAAUGAGUGGUGUUGUAAUUAAGAUAUAUAUGACUCCUAAUUCAUUUUAACCAAUUCUUAACCCUAAUUCAUUUUAACUAAUUCUUAACCAAAAUGAUGAAGAAAUUAUAUUGUGACAUUAUAAAGAGAGUUAUAUGAUAGUACUUAACAAAUUCUUAGACCAAGUCUUUGUGCAAUUGUUUGAACAAGUCUUGUAGUCUGAGCUUGAAAUAUGCAUCAAAACUUUUUGCACUUUCCUUUUCGACUCUCUGUUAAUUAUUUAGAAAUUGGCUAACUAUUUUGACUAGGAGGUGACAUAAUAUAUAUUGUCAUAUGGUAAAAUAUCUAAGGAGUUGGGUUAGAAUACUAUUAAUAGUAUUUAUUCUUUUUUACUAUCAAAUUUUUAGUCUUUAUAUCAAUUCCUUAAAUCAUUUCUAACUAUUGGAUUAAAUAUUAUAACCCAGUGGAGACCACUUAAUCCUAAGGGACUAAUAUCAUACUAACCCUAUAAUUUUUCAUCUAAGGGUUAAAAAUUUAAUAGCAUAAAGGAGCAAAUACUAUCAAUAGUAUUCUAGCCCGACUCAUAUCUUAGUAUAUGAUGAUAGUUAAUUAGUAUCGAAGUGAAUUGGAUUGGACCUUCUCUUAAAUGGGCCCAAGAACAUUUUAUUAUUAUUAUUAUAAGUGAAAAUACAAAAAAACUUUCUUAUAAGUACUUGUUUUUUAAUUUUCCUCCCAUCACUUUCAAAAACUUAUAUUUUAUUCUCUCAAAAUUUCAUAUUAAUGCACUUAGCCCUCUUUCAUCAGAAUUUUGUCACUGUUUCGUUUAUUUCUUAUAAUUUAUAUCGAAAAUAUCAUUGAAAGUGAUAAAAAUAUAUUAAAGGUUACUUCGCACUUUCUAUUAAUGCGGUAAACUUAUGAAAAUAUUUUUAAAAUUUUGAAAAGGUGAAAUGCAGGUUUUUUAACGUCAGAAAAGAAAAGUGAAAAGAAGAUAUGUGUAAAAGAAUUUUCUGUGUCUAGCCAUUUUUAUAUCAAAGAAUCUCGCGAGCUUUUACUUGUGAAAGUACAAACAGAGAUCAAAACCCCUCACCUCACCGACCGUCCCUAGAACAAGUGGCAAAAGGCUUGAUGGUUGAUACCUGAGGUCCCAAGUUUGAAUAAUAGUUAAUUCACAUUUUCAACUAAGUUUAUUUCUAAAUGAAAUAAACGAAACAGGUAGUGUGCUACCUAUCUCUCAAAAUAAAAAUAAAAAUAAAAAUAAAUACCCCUCACCUCAAAGACAAGAAGCCGGGUACAACCAGUUGAGCCAAGCCAAAAAGAUGUUCUUAUGUAGGGCUGGCAAACGAGCGAGCCGGCUCGCGUUCGACUCGUGUUCGGCUCGAUAUUCGGCUCGCUCGAGCUCGACUCGAAAUUAAAUGAGCCGAGCUUGAGUAUUACUCGGCUCGUUCGAAUUAGGCUCGAAAAGCUCGAAAGCCCGAAAUAUAUAUAUAUAUAUAUAAAAUGUAUUUUAAUUAUAUAUAGGCUUUAAUUUAAUUUGGGCCAUUAUUGUUGGCCCAUAAAAUAAACCCAACAAGUACAAUCGUGCAAUUGAGCCCAACUCUAAAUUUACAUAACACACUCUCUUUCAGACUUUUACUGUUGCACAUAACCCUAAAAUAUGAUAAUAUUCAAAUUUUCAAAUCCCUAAUUUUUUUUUCCUCUCUCUCUCUCUCUCUGAUCCUCACCCAGUCAGGCAGUCACCCUAGCUCACAUUUCUUAUAAUUAUUUUGUAUUUUGAACUAUUGAACAUGUUGUAUCAAAUUAUAGGUAAUGUUCUAUAAAAAAUAAAUUAUUGAUUAUAUUAUGUCGAGAAUUUCAAUCGGCUCGUUUAGAGCUCGAGCUCGGCUCGACUCGAAAUUAGGCUCGCUCGAGUUCGGCUCGAAUUAAUUUCAAGCCGAGCUUGAGCCUAGAUUUAGGCUCGAAAUUAAUUUCAAGCCGAAUUUGAGCUGACAUAAGCUCGCUCGAGCUCGGCUCGUUUCCACCCCUAUUCUUAUGUACUUAAAUUGACAUUGAUUUUACAAUAGCAAUCUUUGUAUAAAAUAAUUAAUAAAAAAAAGGGUUAAAUUUUCAACUCAAAAAUGGGAUACUUGUCAAACAAUUUUAAGAUGACAAAAAUGCUCCUUUUAAUUCAAUCCCAAGAUAGUAGGGUGAAAUGUUAAUCCAAAUUGACUUUGAUUAAAUUGACUUUAAUGAUUUCAAAGUCGUGAUUUUAUUGGACCACUUAGGGCCCGUUCGUAAUUGAGGGCAAUCAACGCUAUUACACAAAAUAGAGUUAGGGCAAAAGUUUACAAAACUAUGAUAUUUUUGAUUGAUCAUACAAAAUACAUCAUAACUAAUUUAUUACGAUAAGUGCAAUGUAAUAUUAGGUAUGAAAAUAAAUAUAAUAUAUUUUUAUCGUAUAUUCUCACCGCACUUUAACAUACCAUUCCUGCAAUUAUAAACUGAAACUAUAUGCUUGAAAACAAAAAAAAAAAAAUGGAGAAAGCCUUCUCUAUAACUAGCAAUAUAGGAUUUGUAAUAAUAUGAUCAAAUUUUGCUUUCUAUCAUUGUCUAAUGUGUAAAUUAUGAAAAUACUUUUGGCCUGAAGCAAAUAAAUUAGUUAAACUCCGAAAAACUAUUUGUUCGCAAAAAAAUUUUUCAUAAAAAAAACAUCAUUUUUAGAGUAUUUGGUUUCCAAAUAAAAACUUUGAAAAACAAAAAUACUAGCUUUUUAUCAAAUCUUAAAAAAAGGUUUUUAAGAAAACUAUUUUUUCUGUAAAUCAAAUAGACGAAAAAGUAUCUUCUAAUUAAAAAAACCUAUUUUAGAAUUUUUUUUUUAUUUGAGACCCUUUUAAUUUUUAAUUUUUUGAAUUAAAUUUUUAUAGUUAAUUAAGUUAAAAAAGUUAAUUAAAUUUAUACUCAAUUAGAUAUUAGUCUUUAAUGAAUUCAGUUUUAUAUUCGCUGAAAAAUAAUUUAAACUAGUAAAUCUAAUGAACCAUCAAUCAAUUUGGUGGCACUCCUAAUUUAUUUGGCUAAAAUUACUCAAAAUUUGAAAAUUAAAAGUCAAUAGUCUCAAUAAAUAAUAUAUAAGUGAAAAAAUGCUGCUUGUACACUCAAAUUUAGGGUAUAAAUCUUAAAAACUCAUUUUAAAUUUUUUUAAUACUAAAAAAAAGACCUGAUUAGAUUAGUAAGAAAAUAUUAGCCUCUAGAUGGAUAAGGUGCAAAAUUUAAGUUCAUUUCAUGGAUCCCUCUAUAUAAAUAGUUGAACAAGCUAUUUAAGAAUGCUCUAAACUUAAAACUUUUCAAACCAAAUAUAUAUGGCCUAAUUAAUUAGUAUGUAACCCGAAUUAAACCCCCAUUUUUUAUUGGAUUAAUACUACAUUUUCGAGUGGAAUAUUAUACAUAUCCAUGCACACUUGGUGGGAAAAGCUUGCACUACUACAAAUGGCCCCGCAUGUCCACGUCCUGAACCAAUUAUAUACCUAACCCCCGUUGAAAUAAACUUCAAUUAAUUGAUAACGAUCACGUAGGUACGUGCGAGAGAGAGUGUCUGUUAAAUAUAAAAAUAUUUAAACACCGUUCUCUAACAGCUUAAGUUUUUAGAGUACAACGGUUGUUUCAUAUAAUAUCAGAGCAGGAGGUCCUGAGUUCGAGUCACGCCAGGCUUCUAGCAUAUUAAUUUCCUCCCAUUUAAUUCAAGCCCACGUCAUGAGCCGAUUAAAAAGUCUCGAGCCCAGUCGUGAGGGGGAGUGUUAAAUAUAAAAAUAUUUAAACACCGUUCUCUAACAGCUUAAGCUUUUAGAGUACAACGGUUGUUUCACAUGGUAUCAGAGCAGGAGGUCCUAAGUUUGAGCCCGCCAGGCUCCUAGCAUAUGAUACUAUGUGAAACAACCGUUGUACUCUAAAAGCUUAAACUGUUAGAGAACGGUGUUUAAUAUUUUUAUAUUUAACACUCCUAACAUAUUAAUUUCCUCCCAUUUAAUUCAAGCCCACGUCAUGGGCCGAUUAAGCUUUUAGAGUACAAUGGUUGUUUCACAUGGUAUCAGAGCAGGAGGUCCUAAGUUCGAGUCACGCCAGGCUCCUAGCAUAUUAAUUUCCUCCCAUUUAAUUCAAGCCCACGUCAUGGGCCGAUUAAAAAGUCUCGAGCCCAGGCGUGAGGGAGAGUGUUAAAUAUAAAAAUAUUUAAACACCGUUCUCUAACAGCUUAAAGCUUUUAGAGUACAACGGUUGUUUCACAGUGUCGAGAUGUUCUAUUAAUUUGCAUGAUCUUCUACGCCGUUGCAUAGUAGGAAGAGCAUGUUUACUUUUGCUGAUGUUAGAAGCAGCAUAUAUUAAUAGUAUACUGAGAUAUUUUUAACACCUUUUUUCGCCGUUUUUGAAUAUUAUUUUUGAAUUACUUCUUUCUUAAUUAUCACCUAUAUUGAUACUUUGAGUAAAAUUAUGUCAGAGCGAAUUGAAUAAGCGAAAUCCGAGAUGCGGCCGAGUGUCUGAGGCCGAUAAUGAGAUUGGAAUUAGUAGCCGCUUCUGUCAUCCUAGACAGACAAUUCGCCACCAAAAGGAAGAGGAAAGAUGAAAGCGGAUCCCCCUGCCUUACCCCCUUUUUCACCUUAAUUUAAUUAGUGGGCUCACCAUUAGCUAAAAUGACUAUUUUGGGGUUUCAAACAUAGAGUCGGAUCUAACCACACUACUUAUCGUUGAAACCCCACCAGUUCAAGAUCUUGAAUAAGGACGGCCAGUGGAUGCAGUCGAAGGUCUUAUCAAAGUCGACCUUAACCCCAACUCCUUCUACAUUGUGUUUACUUCUCCAUCCAAAGAGCUCACGAACCAUUGGAUAAGUAUCAGUGAUAUUCCUUCCCUUCAGAAAGACCGCUUGGUUUGGGAAAAUUAGCUCCGGCAUAAUUGCAUCAAAACGGUUGGUCAAGACCUUAUAUAUAAUCUUUUGGAUCAUAAUGUAAUGUUUUUUUUUUUAUUUGUGAUUCGAUUCACCCCCACCGAGGCUCACCUCCCUCACUCAUGUAGCUUAGCUCAUUCUUUUUAUGAAUGAAGCAGAUAGUGUACUACAUUUUCUUCACAAAAAAAAAAAAAUUGCAUCAGAGUUUGUUAAUUAUCUCUCAUGCAUGUCAGUGUAUAGGCUAUGAUUCACACGAUCACCGUCAUUUGCACGAGUAAAAAAUAUUAUGAUUAUUUUUGAAUCAUUUGAUUAUUCUUUUCGAUGACAAUUUUACCUGCAACAGGAGCUUUACAUUUUUUUUUUGCCUAUUAAAUUUUUUUUUUUUUUGAAAACAACUGAGACGAAAGUAAUUAAAAGCAGAACCACUAAUUUCAACUGCCUCAGCAGCAACAUCUUUUACUGGGUAAAACCUAUUCUUUUCUCCUUUCUUGUGAGAAAGUAAAUAGUAAAACAUAUAUAAUUGAUAUCUUAUCUUAUAUCUAUAGCUCCGGGACUACGUCAACCAUCACUGGCUACUUAUACACCGGCUCUCUUCUUCCUCCUCUACUUGCACCAUACAUCCUCCAUUAUCUCUCUCUCCACCAUGGCCAUGACUGACCCAACCAAGCUUCCGAAGUUCUCGAGCUGCCGCGGCGUCUCCUUCGAGAUCCAACCCUCGCCGUCGAGCCCCUUUGCGAUCCCACCGACAUCGAACAGCCAAACCGCAAACCAGGCCGGCCGAUGGGUCUGGCUCCCGUGGUCGUCUCAAAAUGCCACUUCCACCGUCGUCCCUUCAGCCAACUCCCACCGUUCCAUGAGCCGCGCUAGCAGCCACUUCUGCGACCUCUCCGACGACGGCAACGACGACAAGGAAGAAGACCGAGUAGACGACAUCGAAGCGCAACUCGACGACGAGCAACCAGCGGAGCCAAAGAAGCAGCAAGAGCAACCGAUACUAGUGACUCCUCCGGGAAGCGCUUCUGUGAAAAAGCCGACCCCGCCGCCUCCGCAGGAGUACUCGCGCCUCGCCGUCGUACUCCUGGACCAGGGCUUGUUCACCGUCUACAAGCGCCUCUUCGCCGCGUGCUUUGCGCUCAACACAACCGCGCUAGCGCUCGCCGCCACGGGCCAUUUCGACUACGCCAAGCGGAGAGCCGCGCUCUUUGCCAUCGGCAACGUCUUAGCUCUCACCCUCUGCCGCAGCGAGGCGCUCCUCCGCGUCGUCUUCUGGCUCGCCGUCAAAGCCCUCGGCCCCGCGUGGGUCCCGAUUCCGGUCAAGACCGCCGCCACCGCCUUCCUCCAAUCCCUCGGCGGCAUCCACAGCGGCUGCGGCGUCUCCUCCGUCGCGUGGCUCGUAUACGCUCUAAUCCUCACUCUCCACCGCCGCAGCGAGACAUCGCCCGAGAUCAUCGCCGCGGCCUCUUCCGUCCUCGCCUUGCUGUCCCUCUCCUGCGUCGCUGCAUUCCCGCUCGUCCGCCACCCCCACCACAACGUAUUCGAGCGGACCCACCGCUUCGCCGGCUGGACAGUUCUCGCAAUUUUGUGGGCCUUCGUCCUCCUGACGGCCAGCUACCACCCGGACACCAAAUCCUACCACCGCAUCAACGCUUCCGAGCUCGCGAAGCGGCAAGAAUUCUGGAUUACCGUACUCAUCACCUUCUUCACUAUUUUGCCGUGGGCGACGGUGCGGAGAGUCCCCGUGUCCGUCACCGCCCCGUCGGGCCACGCUUCGAUCGUGAAAUUCUCCGGCGGGGUGAAAGCAGGCCUGCUCGGCCGCAUAAGCCGGUCGCCUUUAUCCGAAUGGCACGCGUUCGGUAUCAUAUCCGACGGCGAAGAAACCCACAUGAUGCUCGCCGGCGCGGUCGGGGACUUCACCAAGGGAUUGGUGUUGGACCCGCCGCAGCGUAUCUGGUGAACAUGUACCGGAGGGUGGUGCUCGUCGCGACCGGAUCGGGGAUCUGCGUGUUCCUGUCCUUCCUGCUGCAGCCGUGCGCGGCGGCGGUGUGCGUGGUGUGGGUGGCGAAAGGCGUGGAGGCGAACUUCGGGAGGGAGAUUACGAAUAUGGUCACCGGCGGCGGCGCCGGGUGGGGGGAGAGGAAGGCGGUGGUGCACGACACGGCGGUGCUCGGGAGGCCGAAUGUGGCAGAGAUGGCGGUGGAGGCAGCGAAGGACUGGGAGGCGGAGGUGGUGGUGGUCACCAGCAAUCCACAGGGGAGUAGUGAUGUGGUUAGGGCUUGUAAGAUGGCCGGAAUACCUGCAUUUGGACCCAUUUGGGAUUCUUAAUUUAUUUAUUUACUUAAAACACUGCUUUCUGUGCACCUACGGAUUAGAUGUAUAUCGUUCAUCCAAAAAUUUUUAUUUUCUAUUAUCUUAUUAUUUUUUAUUAUUAAAUUAAAUGAUAUCUGAUUCAAAAAAUAUUACAGUGCUCUUAAUCCAUAAACUCUUUUAUAUUUUUAAUAUAUAAAAAAACAGAAAAUAAUAAGAGAAGAAGUAAUAUAAACCCUUAUAUGAGAGAAUAGAAAAUUUAUAUUAUUCCCUUUUAAGGUGUCCAGAUAGCAUUACUCUAGUAAAAAUUCAAAACAUUUUGUGAAUCCCAAAAUGCACUGGAUGCAAGAUUUACACCCAAGGGAUAUAUAUUUGGAACACUUUUGAGUAAGUGUCUCAUUUAUACUAAAACUUAAAAAAAAUCUGCUAAUGCCUAAAUAUAAAGCCCAAUCCAACCAAAAAUAAAAGAUUACUCUACUUAACCCACCACACCCAGUCCAUUUGGCCCGAUUACAAACAGAAAAGAAAAAAAAAGAAAAAAAGAAAAAUCAAUUGCCAUCUUUUCUUCUUUCUUCACUCAAUCCACUGAAAUUUUAGACGAAUAACCUUUUCUGUCGUCCUCCUCCGCCACCGCAGCCAACGAGAUAGAGUUUCGGCGGUUGCUAAAUGUUUAAAUAAGUGUUGGUAAAUUAGCAGUACUUUUUUAGGUUAUAGCAACACUCUUUAACUGUCACUAUAUACCUAACGAUCCCACAUGUAGCAACACUUUUUAAAAGUGUCGGUAAUUUUAGCUAGCAGCAUUUUUUUGAUAUGUACCUGCAUUUAAAAGUGUCGCUAUAGACCGUUUUUAUUGUAGUGCAUGUGUAAUAUAUUUUUACAAAAUAAAUAUUAAAUAAAAGAUAAUGGAUUAUUAACCAUUUCUCUCGCGUAUUAAAAAUAGUAAACAAUUUACAAUUUUCUAUACGAACAAUCCUAAACUCUAAAUCCUAAACCGUAAACCUACAAUCAGUUACCGUUUUAUGAUUACUUU
rnacentral:lncRNA from 1 species